GACUCCUACGGGAGGCAGCAGUGGGAAUAUUGCACAAUGGGCGCAAGCCUGAUGCAGCCAUGCCGCGUGUGUGAAGAAGGCCUUCGGGUGUAAAGCACUUUCAGUUGUGAGGAAGGUGGUGUCGUUAAUAGCGGCAUCAUUUGACGUUAGCAACAGAAGAAGCACCGGCUAACUCCGUGCCAGCAGCCGCGGUAAUACGGAGGGUGCGAGCGUUAAUCGGAAUUACUGGGCGUAAAGCGCAUGCAGGUGGUUUGUUAAGUCAGAUGUGAAAGCCCCGGGGCUCAACCUCGGAACUGCAUUUGAAACUGGCAGACUAGAGUACUGUAGAGGGGGUAGAAUUUCAGGUGUAGCGGUGAAAUGCGUAGAGAUCUGAAGGAAUACCGGUGGCGAAGGCGGCCCCCUGGACAGAUACUGACACUCAGAUGCGAAAGCGUGGGGAGCAAACAGGAUUAGAUACCCUGGUAG
rnacentral:rRNA from 1 species